rnacentral:misc_RNA from 1 species
AAGUCGUAACAAGGUUUCCGUAGGUGAACCUGCGGAAGGAUCAUUACUGAGUUUGGGUGUGCCUUCACCGGCCGCCCGACCUUCUCAACCCAGUGUCAAACUACACCUUGAAUGUUGCUUCGGCGGGACGGUCGUUAAUCCGACCGCCGGGGGAUUGGGGGUCUUCACCGACCUCCGCCUUCUCCUGGAGCGUUUGCCCGCCGAUGGCCUCAUACAACCUAAAAACUCUUGAACUAAACUAUGUCUAAACCGUAUACCCAUAAAUAAUGGAUAAACAAAA